rnacentral:rRNA from 1 species
GGUUAAGCGACUAAGCGUACACGGUGGAUGCCCUGGCAGUCAGAGGCGAUGAAGGACGUGCUAAUCUGCGAAAAGCGUCGGUAAGGUGAUAUGAACCGUUAUAACCGGCGAUGUCCGAAUGGGGAAACCCAGUGUGAUUCGUCACACUAUCGUUAACUGAAUACAUAGGUUAACGAGGCGAACCGGGGGAACUGAAACAUCUAAGUACCCCGAGGAAAAGAAAUCAACCGAGAUUCCCCCAGUAGCGGCGAGCGAACGGGGAGCAGCCCAGAGUCUGAAUCAGCUUGUGUGUUAGUGGAACGGUCUGGAAAGUCCGACGGUACAGGGUGAUAGUCCCGUACACCAAAAUGCACAGGUUGUGAACUCGAAGAGUAGGGCGGGACACGUGGUAUCCUGUCUGAAUAUGGGGGGACCAUCCUCCAAGGCUAAAUACUCCUGACUGACCGAUAGUGAACCAGUACCGUGAGGGAAAGGCGAAAAGAACCCCGGCGAGGGGAGUGAAAAAGAACCUGAAACCGUGUACGUACAAGCAGUGGGAGCACCUUCGGGUGUGACUGCGUACCUUUUGUAUAAUGGGUCAGCGACUUAUAUUCUGUAGCAAGGUUAACCGUAUAGGGGAGCCGCAGGGAAACCGAGUCUUAACUGGGCGUUAAGUUGCAGGGUAUAGACCCGAAACCCGGUGAUCUAGCCAUGGGCAGGUUGAAGGUUGGGUAACACUAACUGGAGGACCGAACCGACUAAUGUUGAAAAAUUAGCGGAUGACUUGUGGCUGGGGGUGAAAGGCCAAUCAAACCGGGAGAUAGCUGGUUCUCCCCGAAAGCUAUUUAGGUAGCGCCUCGUGAACUCAUCUUCGGGGGUAGAGCACUGUUUCGGCUAGGGGGUCAUCCCGACUUACCAACCCGAUGCAAACUACGAAUACCGAAGAAUGUUAUCACGGGAGACACACGGCGGGUGCUAACGUCCGUCGUGAAGAGGGAAACAACCCAGACCGCCAGCUAAGGUCCCAAAGUCAUGGUUAAGUGGGAAACGAUGUGGGAAGGCACAGACAGCCAGGAUGUUGGCUUAGAAGCAGCCAUCAUUUAAAGAAAGCGUAAUAGCUCACUGGUCGAGUCGGCCUGCGCGGAAGAUGUAACGGGGCUAAACCAUGCACCGAAGCUGCGGCAGCGACACUAUGUGUUGUUGGGUAGGGGAGCGUUCUGUAAGCCUGCGAAGGUGACCUGUGAGGGUUGCUGGAGGUAUCAGAAGUGCGAAUGCUGACAUAAGUAACGAUAAAGCGGGUGAAAAGCCCGCUCGCCGGAAGACCAAGGGUUCCUGUCCAACGUUAAUCGGGGCAGGGUGAGUCGACCCCUAAGGCGAGGCCGAAAGGCGUAGUCGAUGGGAAACAGGUUAAUAUUCCUGUACUUGGUGUUACUGCGAAGGGGGGACGGAGAAGGCUAUGUUAGCCGGGCGACGGUUGUCCCGGUUUAAGCAUGUAGGCUGGUUAUCCAGGCAAAUCCGGAUAAUCAAGGCUGAGGUGUGAUGACGAGGCACUACGGUGCUGAAGUAACAAAUGCCCUGCUUCCAGGAAAAGCCUCUAAGCAUCAGGUAACAUCAAAUCGUACCCCAAACCGACACAGGUGGUCAGGUAGAGAAUACCAAGGCGCUUGAGAGAACUCGGGUGAAGGAACUAGGCAAAAUGGUGCCGUAACUUCGGGAGAAGGCACGCUGGUGUGUAGGUGAAGUCCCUGCGGAUGGAGCUGAGACCAGUCGAAGAUACCAGCUGGCUGCAACUGUUUAUUAAAAACACAGCACUGUGCAAACACGAAAGUGGACGUAUACGGUGUGACGCCUGCCCGGUGCCGGAAGGUUAAUUGAUGGGGUUAUCCGUAAGGAGAAGCUCUUGAUCGAAGCCCCGGUAAACGGCGGCCGUAACUAUAACGGUCCUAAGGUAGCGAAAUUCCUUGUCGGGUAAGUUCCGACCUGCACGAAUGGCGUAAUGAUGGCCAGGCUGUCUCCACCCGAGACUCAGUGAAAUUGAACUCGCUGUGAAGAUGCAGUGUACCCGCGGCAAGACGGAAAGACCCCGUGAACCUUUACUAUAGCUUGACACUGAACAUUGAGCCUUGAUGUGUAGGAUAGGUGGGAGGCUUUGAAGCGUGGACGCCAGUCUGCGUGGAGCCAACCUUGAAAUACCACCCUUUAAUGUUUGAUGUUCUAACGUUGGCCCCUGACCGGGGUUGCGGACAGUGUCUGGUGGGUAGUUUGACUGGGGCGGUCUCCUCCCAAAGCGUAACGGAGGAGCACGAAGGUUAGCUAAUCCUGGUCGGACAUCAGGAGGUUAGUGCAAUGGCAUAAGCUAGCUUGACUGCGAGCGUGACGGCGCGAGCAGGUGCGAAAGCAGGUCAUAGUGAUCCGGUGGUUCUGAAUGGAAGGGCCAUCGCUCAACGGAUAAAAGGUACUCCGGGGAUAACAGGCUGAUACCGCCCAAGAGUUCAUAUCGACGGCGGUGUUUGGCACCUCGAUGUCGGCUCAUCACAUCCUGGGGCUGAAGUAGGUCCCAAGGGUAUGGCUGUUCGCCAUUUAAAGUGGUACGCGAGCUGGGUUUAGAACGUCGUGAGACAGUUCGGUCCCUAUCUGCCGUGGGCGCUGGAGAAUUGAGGGGGGCUGCUCCUAGUACGAGAGGACCGGAGUGGACGCAUCACUGGUGUUCGGGUUGUCAUGCCAAUGGCACUGCCCGGUAGCUAAAUGCGGAAGAGAUAAGUGCUGAAAGCAUCUAAGCACGAAACUUGCCCCGAGAUGAGUUCUCCCUGAGACUUUAAGUCUCCUGAAGGAACGUUGAAGACGACGACGUUGAUAGGCCGGGUGUGUAAGCGCAGCGAUGCGUUGAGCUAACCGGUACUAAUGAACCGUGAGGCUUAACCUU